rnacentral:rRNA from 1 species
CCUACGGGUGGCUGCAGUGAGGAAUAUUGGUCAAUGGGCGCGAGCCUGAACCAGCCAAGCCGCGUGAGGGAAGACGGUCCCAAGCAUUGUAAACUUCUUUUGUCGGGGAGCAAAAGCAGCCUCGCGUGGCGUUCCGAGGGUACCUGAAGAAAAAGCAUCGGCUAACUCCGUGUCAGCAGCCGCGGUAAUACGGAGGAUGCGAGCGUUAUCCGGAUUUAUUGGGUUUAAAGGGUGCGUAGGCGGAAGGUCAAGUCAGCGGUAAAAGUGAGAGGCUCAACCUCGUCGAGCCGUUGAAACUGGUUUUCUUGAGUGAGUGAGAGGUAUGCGGAAUGCGUAGUGUAGCGGUGAAAUGCAUAGAUAUCACGCAGAACUCCGAUUGCGAAGGCAGCAUACCGGCGCUCAACUGACGCUCAUGCACGAAAGUGUGGGGAUCGAACAGGAUUAGAUACCCUAGUAGUC